AUUGAACGCUGGCGGCAUGCCUUACACAUGCAAGUCGAACGGUAACGGGCCUUCGGGUGCCGACGAGGGGCGAACGGGUGAGUAAUACAUCGGAACGUGCCCGCUCGUGGGGGAUAACGAGGCGAAAGCUUUGUUAAUACCGCAUACGAUCUACGGUUGAAAGCAGGGGACCGCAAGGCCAUGCUCGGACGGAGCGGCCGACGGCAGAUUAGGUAGUUGGUGGGAUAAAAGCUUACCAAGCCGACGAUCUGUAGCUGGUCUGAGAGGAUGAUCAGCCACACUGGGACUGAGACACGGCCCAGACUCCUACGGGAGGACGCAGUGGGGAAUCUUGGACGAUGGGCGCAAGCCUGAUCCAGCCAUGCCGCGUGCAGGAUGAAGGCCUUCGGGUUGUAAACUGCUUUUGUACGGAACGAAAAGCCUUCUUUUAAUACAGGAGGGUCAUGACGGUACCGUAAGAAUAAGCACCGGCUAACUACGUG
rnacentral:rRNA from 1 species